GAUUGCGGAUCAUCUAAAAAUUGUACGGAUGCUUAUCUACUUAAAAACGACGACCAGCCAUUGCGUAACAGAUGAAACGAAAUAAACUCGAUUGAACGCGUGGUUGUAUCUUGCCCGGAAUAUCAACGUAGGAUGUACCAUCAGUAAUGAUCAACGAAAGUCCUAAAGAAGUGACUCGAAUUGCGAAUUCGUGCUCAGGUGUAUCGAAAUUCUCGAAACACCUUCGAAUUUUUCUUUUAAUUUAACGUGGUGUCUAUAUUUAAUUGUGAUCUUACGUCGAUUCACGUGAUUUCCAAUGACUGAAAUUGAUCGGUGGAUGCAACAGAGAAAGAAGCUAAAAGAAAAAGAAAAAAAUUCUAUUCAAUAUUUGCACGCUUCGAAACACUCACAUGUGUAUAGAGAUCUUGGUCGUUCGAAGGCAAGCUGGAUUGAGAUAGCAACGACAGGCAGCUAUUAAGGUCAACAACGGAUUUCAGGAAAAAUCGAUAGACCGGAUAGAACGACCCUCGAUGGAUAUCGGCCUGUUUAGAAUCAAGGGCUGCAUAGAAGAAGCGAACAAGAUCAGCCUGCUGUGAAGUGUCAAAAACUGCUCGUGGCUAGCAGCCAAUAAAGCAACAAAAGGGAGAAAGCUGGAAAUAGCUCGGCUACCAGAAAACAAUAAAGCAGUUGAGGCAUUAUGCAAUGAAAAUCUCGUUUUACUUAAACAGCAUUACCGAAAUCUUACAAUAUAGGCGGAUAAGUACGGAUAAACAUUGUAACCGAAGCGACUAAAAUCAUUGAAAUAAAAAAUAAAAUCUUUAAUUACCUUUCGGCAAAAUAUUCCCUUUAAAUUGAAUUCCAAUCGAUAAAGUAUAUUUUAAUUUGUUUUUAGAUUUAAAAGUAAAGAUUUAACUUUCAGUCUAUUAUUUCCCCUCUACGUACAUAAACGUUGCACAAGACGUUAAAUAAUUACAAAGCUAAGGAAAAUGAAAUGGCUCAAGUUUCUAAUAAAAAUGUUUAUUGCAUUAGUUUGAUGAUUGAAAUUUUUAUAACGUAACUGUAGCAACGUUUUAUAUGUAUUUAUUACGUCAAAGAAACAUACAUUUUAGACGUUCUAUUGAACCAGAAAUUCAAGAAUCGCAAA